UAGUACUGCCAUGUCCCACUGAGACAUCUUUGCUGAGCUGACCUCCUUAAACCAUUCAGCUCAUCCAUGUGGACUAGAAGAAAAUUGGGUUUUCAUAAGAUGUUUAAUGCAAUUCUUCCUCAUUUCUCCUAACACAAAAGGCAGUAACUUUGGUCUUCAGGAAAACAUCCUUCCCCUGAGCCCUGAGAUCCUCCAGCAUAACAAUUAGAAGAGGGAAACAGGCUGAGCUGCAAUAGCUGAAGAAACUCUACUCUGGGCCCUCCAGGUGGGACCUCUUUCCCGGAGGAGGGAAACUUCCUGCCAGGGCCACCAAGAGCAGAGGACUCACAUUAUGAAGGCUGACCCAUUCUCUUGUGUUUGGGUUGCUGUUCCGACAUUGGCUCGCAGGUCUUUGAGUAAUCGUCACACUGUCUUCCACAAUGGUUGAACUAAUUUGCACUCCAACCAACAGUGUAAAGGCGUUCUUAAUUUUCCACAUGCUCUCCAGCAUCUGUUGUCUCCAGAUGUUUUAAUCAUGGCCAUCCUAACUGGCGUGAGAUGGUAUCUCAAUGUGGUUUUGAUUUGCAUUUCUCUAAUGACCAGCACCUCCAUCAAAUAUUAAGAUAUGUUUACUACUGUGUUGAUAUAAAGAUAAUGUAUUAUUAUUUUAUGGUGAAACAUUUUCUUUGACCUGA